CACAGGUUUGGUAUCUUAGUUCUUACUGAAAAUGAUGCCGAGGUUGUGGACAGUCUCAUUCAGAUACAAUGGCUGUGUAAGAAGGUUUUGUUUCACAGGCUGAGAACUUGCAGCAGGCCCUGUUCUGAUCACUACACCGAUAACCUAUUGAGAAAAAUUUCUACAGCAGCUGAUUGAUGGUGUCAGGGUCGCAUCAUCAUAUUAGGAAGUGCAUUCUCAUUAUACUCCAGCAACAGCUUGUUUUUGAGUAUUUACUCUAAAAGCCAGAGAUCCUGCAAAGCCUUUUUAAGCACUUUAACAACCAGCUCUCUAACUUCAAAUCGUUUCUCCAGGAGAUGCAGUAGCCCCUCGACUUACAAACUUAA